GAUGAACGCUGGCGGCGUGCCUAAUACAUGCAAGUCGAGCGAACGGACGAGAAGCUUGCUUCUCUGAUGUUAGCGGCGGACGGGUGAGUAACACGUGGAUAACCUACCUAUAAGACUGGGAUAACUUCGGGAAACCGGAGCUAAUACCGGAUAAUAUUUUGAACCGCAUGGUUCAAAAGUGAAAGACGGUCUUGCUGUCACUUAUAGAUGGAUCCGCGCUGCAUUAGCUAGUUGGUAAGGUAACGGCUUACCAAGGCAACGAUGCAUAGCCGACCUGAGAGGGUGAUCGGCCACACUGGAACUGAGACACGGUCCAGACUCCUACGGGAGGCAGCAGUAGGGAAUCUUCCGCAAUGGGCGAAAGCCUGACGGAGCAACGCCGCGUGGGUGAUGAAGGUCUUCGGAUCGCAAAACUCUGUUAUUAGGGAAGAACAUAUGUGUAAGUAACUGUGCACAUCUUGACGGUACCUAAUCAGAAAGCCACGGCUAACUACGUG
rnacentral:rRNA from 1 species